UACGUAGGGUGCGAGCGUUAAUCGGAAUUACUGGGCGUAAAGUGUGCGCAGGCGGCCGCGCAAGUCGAGUGUGAAAUCCCCGAGCUUAACUUGGGAAUUGCGCUCGAAACUACGUGGCUGGAGUGUGGCAGAGGAAGGUGGAAUUCCACGUGUAGCGGUGAAAUGCGUAGAGAUGUGGAGGAACACCGAUGGCGAAGGCAGCCUUCUGGGUCAACACUGACGCUCAUGCACGAAAGCGUGGGGAGCAAACAGG
rnacentral:rRNA from 1 species